ACAUGCCUACAACAUAGUGUUAAUGCACUAUAUCACAUUAGAACUCCGCAGUUAAGCGCGCUCAAGCUAGAGUAGUAUUGGGAUGGGUGAUUGCCCAGGAAGCCCUAGUAUUUUACAUGCC
rnacentral:rRNA from 1 species